UGGCGAACGGGUGAGUAACACGUGGGUGAUCUGCCUUGCACUUCGGGAUAAGCUUGGGAAACUGGGUCUAAUACCGGAUAGGACAGCUGUUUAGUGUCAGUUGUGGAAAGUUUUUUCGGUGCAAGAUGAGCUCGCGGCCUAUCAGCUUGUUGGUGGGGUAAUGGCCUACCAAGGCGUCGACGGGUAGCCGGCCUGAGAGGGUGGACGGCCACAUUGGGACUGAGAUACGGCCCAG
rnacentral:rRNA from 2 species